CCUACGGGAGGCAGCAGUGAGGAAUAUUGGACAAUGGGGGGAACCCUGAUCCAGCCAUGCCGCGUGUGUGAAGAAGGCCUUUUGGUUGUAAAGCACUUUAAGCGAGGAGGAGGCUACUCUAGUUAAUACCUAGAGAUAGUGGACGUUACUCGCAGAAUAAGCACCGGCUAACUCUGUGCCAGCAGCCGCGGUAAUA
rnacentral:rRNA from 1 species